AUUGAACGCUGGCGGCAGGCCUAACACAUGCAAGUCGAACGAGUGGCGGACGGGUGAGUAAUGUCUGGGAAACUGCCUGAUGGAGGGGGAUAACUACUGGAAACGGUAGCUAAUACCGCAUACCAUCGGAUGUGCCCAUAUGGGAUUAGCUAGUUGGGUGGGUAAAGGCUCACCUAGGCGACGAUCCCUAGCUGGUCGGAGAGGAUGACCAGCCACACGGGAACGUAGACAAGGCCCAGACUCCUACGGGAGGCAGCAGUGGGGAAUAUUGCACAAUGGGCGCAAGCCUGAUGCAGCCAUGCCGCGUGUAUGAAGAAUGCCUGCGGGUUGUAAAGUACUUUCAGCGGGGAGGCGUUACCCGCAGAAGAAGCACCGGCUAACUCCGUGCCAGCAGCCGCGGUAAUAC
rnacentral:rRNA from 1 species